rnacentral:rRNA from 1 species
GACGAACGCUGGCGGCGUGCUUAACACAUGCAAGUCGAACGGUGAAAGCGGAGCUUGCUCCGCUGGAUCAGUGGCGAACGGGUGAGUAACACGUGGGCAACCUGCCCCUCACUUCGGGAUAACUCCGGGAAACCGGGGCUAAUACCGGAUAUGACCUCCUUGGGCAUCCUUGGAGGUGGAAAGUUUUUCGGUGAGGGAUGGGCCCGCGGCCUAUCAGCUUGUUGGUGUGGUAGUGGCUCACCAAGGCGACGACGGGUAGCCGGCCUGAGAGGGCGACCGGCCACACUGGGACUGAGACACGGCCCAGACUCCUACGGGAGGCAGCAGUGGGGAAUAUUGCGCAAUGGGCGAAAGCCUGACGCAGCAACGCCGCGUGCGGGAUAACGGCCUUCGGGUUGUAAACCGCUUUCAGCAGGGAAGAAGCCGCAAGGUGACGGUACCUGCAGAAGAAGCACCGGCUAACUACGUGCCAGCCGCCGCGGUAA